ACGCAGUAAACGAUGAUAACUAACCGUCGGCGAUAGACAGUCGGUGGCCAAGCGAAAGCGAUAAGUUAUCCACCUGGGGAGUACGACCGCAAGGUUGAAACUCAAAGGAAUUGACGGGGGCCCGCACAAGCGGAGGAACAUGUGGUUUAAUUCGAUGAUACGCGAGGAACCUUACCCGGGCUCGAACGGCAUGGGAAGAACCCAGAGAUGGGGACGUCCUUCGGGACUCAUGUCGAGGUGCUGCAUGGUUGUCGUCAGCUCGUGUCGUGAGAUGUUGGCUUAAGUGCCAUAACGAGCGCAACCCUUGCCUUUAGUUACCAGCAUGUAAUGAUGGGGACUCUAAAGGGACUGCCACCGUAAGGUGUGAGGAAGGCGGGGAUGACGUCAAAUCAGCACGGCCCUUACGUCCGGGGCGACACACGUGUUACAAUGACAGCUACAGAGGGAAGCUACCUGGCGACAGGAUGCAGAUCUCGAAAAGCUGCCUCAGUUCGGACUGGAGUCUGCAACCCGACUCCACGAAGCUGGAUUCGCUAGUAAUCGCGCAUCAGCCAUGGCGCGGUGAAUACGUUCCCGGGCCUUGUACACACCGCCCGUCAAGCCAUGAAAGCUGGGGGUGCCUGAAGUUCGUGACCGCGAGGAGCGACCUAGGGCAAAACUGGUAAUUGGGGCU
rnacentral:rRNA from 1 species